GACGAACGCUGGCGGCGUGCUUAACACAUGCAAGUCGAGCGGUAAGGCCCUUUCGGGGGUACACGAGCGGCGAACGGGUGAGUAACACGUGGGUGACCUGCCCUCAGCUCUGGGAUAAGCCUGGGAAACCGGGUCUAAUACCGGAUAUGACUCCAUGACGCAUGUUGUGGGGUGGAAAGCCUUGUGCGGCUGAGGAUGGGCCCGCGGCCUAUCAGCUUGUUGGUGGGGUGANGGCCUACCAAGGCGACGACGGGUAGCCGGCCUGAGAGGGCGACCGGCCACACUGGGACUGAGACACGGCCCAGACUCCGUACGGGAGGCAGCAGGUGGGGAAUCUUGCGCAAGUGGGACGAAAGCCUGACGCAGCGACGCCGCGUGAGGGAUGAC
rnacentral:rRNA from 1 species